GCGAAUUCCACCUGAGCCUUGCCGGCAAACCCAACCUGCCCUGCGCCUCAGAUUUCCAGAACCUCCGGCCCGGCAGAGGGAAGCUCCCGUCCAUCGCCCCCCAGUUCUCCCCGUCUGGACCUCACCCGACCCUUCGCCCCAACUCUUCGGAGUCCACGAGGAACAAGCAAAGCAGCCGCUCUUCUAGGAGGUGAGGACAGGCCAUUUCCUCAAGAGCCCCUGGCCCGAAGACAGCCACAAUCCGCUGGCUGUAACGGGAACCCUGGCAUCUUCCUGGCACCCCGCGAGACAAAGCGGGAGAUUAGCACCGAAUGCUGAUAUUCUACACCCCUUGGCUCAGAGGCUGUGGGUUUUUUUUCAGACUCGGUCGAAAGACGGGAUCCUUUUCUGGAACCAGAGAGGUCUGAAAUGCUUGUCAGCUGUCAUGCACACACCCACAGCCUUUGUGUCCUG